rnacentral:RNase_P_RNA from 1 species
AUGAUUGCGGGCCGUAAGGUCUGAGGAAAGUCCGAGCUUCGCAGGGCAGGAUGCCGGAUAACGUCCGGCGGGGGCGACCCCAGGGAAAGUGCCAUAGAAAAGGAGACCGCCGCGCAAGCGGUAAGGGUGGAAAGGUGCGGUAAGAGCGCACCAGCAGUCAGGUAACUGGCUGGCUUGGUAAACCCCAUCUGAAGCAAGGCCGAAUAGGGAAGGGUUGAGGUUGCCCGCUGACCUUCCGGGUUGUUGCCGCUUGAACAGGAGAGUAAUUUUCUGUCUAGAUAGAUAAUCAUCGCCACCUUGGUGGAACAGAACUCGGCUUAUUGACUG